rnacentral:rRNA from 1 species
GCUUGUCUCAAAGAUUAAGCCAUGCAUGUCUAAGUAUAAACAAAUCUAUACUGUGAAACUGCGAAUGGCUCAUUAUAUCAGUUAUAGUUUAUUUGAUGGUUCUUGCUACUUGGAUAACCGUAGUAAUUCUAGAGCUAAUACAUGCUGUUUAGCCUGACUUCUAGGAAGGGCUGUAUUUAUUAGAUAACAAACCAAUAUUCCUCGUGUCUAUUGUGAUGACUCAUAAUAACUGAUCGAAUCGCAUGGGCUUUGCCCGCGAUACAUCAUUCAAGUUUCUGCCCCAUCAGCUUUCGAUGGUAGUGUAUUGGACUACCAUGGCUUUAACGGGUAACGGAGGAUUAGGGUUCGAUUCCGGAGAGGGAGCCUGAGAAACGGCUACCACAUCUAAGGAAGGCAGCAGG